ensembl:lncRNA
GGGAUGUGCAGCUUGCCGCCGUGUGCCAGAGUAGAAGUCUGCUGCUCUGUGAGAUGUUUCAAGGAUGGGGUCUAACAACGCAGCAAGAGGGGAGAUCUUCACCUCCUACUUCUUCGAAGAUGUUGCUGUUCCCUGGCAAGAGGGCCAACCAUGGAGAAUAGUUAUAUCAGCUGUGUCAGUGAACCCCUCCCACAUCUGAACUGGCUACAUAGAGGGCACAGCAUGAUCAGAGAUAUGUUUUGAUGUGAGAGGGGAUGCCAACCCCCAGUCCUAUCAUCGCCACCUCACCUGCUUUUAAGAUAACCUUUGGGCUGUCGAGUGAUACUUAUGUAAUUGUGAUGAACUAAGAAUAUUUAGGUAGCACUGUGAUUCAUUAAUCAUAUGCUGCCUUCCCUGCUCCUAUGUUUUACCUCUUUCCCUUUUACACCUCUCCCACCACCUCUUUCUUUAUAAUGCACAACAGAUGUGCAUUGAAGUACAGAUUGAACUUGAAUUUAUAACAUUAACAUUAUAAUAUUUAUAAUGCAUGUAUUUAUAACACUUGGAUAAUGAGAUUCUCAAUAAAG